rnacentral:rRNA from 1 species
GAUGAACGCUGGCGGCGUGCCUAAUACAUGCAAGUCGAGCGAACGGACGAGAAGCUUGCUUCUCUGAUGUUAGCGGCGGACGGGUGAGUAACACGUGGAUAACCUACCUAUAAGACUGGGAUAACUUCGGGAAACCGGAGCUAAUACCGGAUAAUAUUUUGAACCGCAUGGUUCAAAAGUGAAAGACGGUCUUGCUGUCACUUAUAGAUGGAUCCGCGCUGCAUUAGCUAGUUGGUAAGGUAACGGCUUACCAAGGCAACGAUGCAUAGCCGACCUGAGAGGGUGAUCGGCCACACUGGAACUGAGACACGGUCCAGACUCCUACGGGAGGCACCAGUAGGGAAUCGUCCGCAAUGGGCGGAAGCAUGACGGAGCAACGCCGCGUGAGUGAUGAGGGUCUUCGGGUCGGGAAACUCGGUUAUUAGUGGAGAACAUAUGUGUAAGGAACUGUGCACAGCUUGACGGUACUGAAUAGGAAAGCCAGGGCUAAAUACGUG